GAACAAAAUCUGGUCAUGUGGUUA
rnacentral:siRNA from 1 species